rnacentral:other from 1 species
UCGGAGCUAGUUUUAACCUACUGUUUGUCAAUGAGGUUUCCUCCUCGUCAGAGUUAGUAACGAAUUGCUGUGUGUAGUCUUUGCCCAUCCCAUGAGAUGGGCUUUUUUUUUA